UACAGAGACUGCAAGCGUUAUUCGGAUUCACUGGGCGUAAAGGGUGCGCAGGCGGCCAAGUGUGUUAGGCGUGAAAGCCCGGGGCUUAACCCCGGAAUUGCACCUAAAACUACAUGGCUAGAGCAUUGGAGAGGGUAGCGGAUUUCACGGUGUAGCAGUGAAAUGCGUAGAUAUCGUGAGGAACACCAGAGGCGAAGGCGGCUACCUGGACAAUUGCUGACGCUCAGGCACGAAAGCGUGGGGAGCAAAAGGG
rnacentral:rRNA from 1 species